CUCCAGCCUGCUCUGUGGAGUGCUGAGAGGAGCUCUUGAAAUGGUUCAAAUGGCAGUGGAUGUGCGAUUCGCUCAGGACACACUAAGAGGUGACAAUGUGACAGAAAUUCGCAUGAAGUUCAUCAAAAGGAUCGAGGAGAACCUGCCAGCUGGAGACGAAUGAGGCUGAAAGACACCUUUAAUUUAAGAGACUUUUUUUAUGUUGGAUUGGGAACCAAAAACUUCCGUUUUGGUCAAGAAGACCAACCAGUCCACUAACAUUCUAAGUAUUGCAAUGAGAGUUCAUCGUCGAGAAGAUUUCUCUCAAUGUGUCACCAAGGUUGGCAUGUUCUUUGCACCUGGUCCAUGUUUUUUAUUUCAGGCAAAUAUUUUCUCAAGUCUCUUUUUGUAUGACAGUUUGUCUGUAGUGUAUUUUUUGUUAUUCUUUUUGCCUUUAACUCAUACAUACGGCAAAGAAGGUUUAAUUUAUUUAGUCAAGUAUCAUAAUGAGAUUAAAUAAGUCAUCAACUA